rnacentral:rRNA from 1 species
UAGAGGUCCGCCUGCCCGUGACUACAUGUUUAACGGCCGCGGUAUUUUGACCGUGCAAAGGUAGCGCAAUCACUUGUCUUUUAAAUGGAGACCUGUAUGAAUGGCACAACGAGGGCUUAACUGUCUCCCUUUUCAAGUCAAUGAAAUUGAUCUCCCCGUGCAGAAGCGGGGAUCCCCCCACAAGACGAGAAGACCCUAUGAAGCUUUAGACACCAAGGCAGACCACGCCAAAAAUCCCCAACAAGGAACCGAGCUUAAUGACUCCCUGCCCGACUGUCUUUGGUUGGGGCGACCACGGGGGAAAACCGAGCCCCCACGCGGAACGGGGCGAUACCGCCCUGAAACCCAGAGCCCCCGCUCCAAGCAACAAAACUUUUUUGACCUACCAGAUCCGGCAUCGCCGAUCUACGGACCGAGUUACUCUAGGGAUAACAGCGCAAUCCCCUUCCAGAGCCCCUAUCGACAAGGGGGUUUACGACCUCGAUGUUGGAUCAGGACAUCCUAAUGGUGCAGCCGCUAUUAAGGGUUCGUUUGUUCAACGAUUAAAGUCCUACGUGAUCUG